CUUUACUGUAGCCUGGUAUUGGGUUCGGGCUUUGACUGCGCAGGAUAGGUGGGAGACUAUGAAGCUGCCCUUGUGGGGGCAGUGGAGUCAUCAGUGAGAUACCACUCUGUCAAGGCUAGAAUUCUAACCGUCUGCCGUUAUCCGGCGGCGGAACAGUAUCAGGUGGGCAGUUUGACUGGGGCGGUCGCCUCCUAAAUGGUAACGGAGGCGCGCAAAGGUUCCCUCAGGCUGGUUGGAAAUCAGCCGAAGAGUGUAAAGGCAGAAGGGAGCUUGACUGCAAGAGCAACAACUCAAGCAGGGACGAAAGUCGGCCUUAGUGAUCCGACGGCGCUGAGUGGAAGGGCCGUCGCUCAACGGAUAAAAGUUA
rnacentral:rRNA from 1 species